ensembl:lncRNA
GCCACCUCUUGGACUGACACUGUAAUUACACAUUCUUUUUUGGGAAAUCGAUUCUGGUGCGUUUAAUUCGUGUUUAAAAAUUCGUAACUUUAGUUUUAUGCAGUACAGUAAACAAAUAAGUAAAUAAAAUUAAAGAUACAUAAAAUUCACAAUUUAAUCUAGGCUAAGAGCAAUUGAAUUCAUUCAAACCAACAAACAAACUGCGUGUGGUUAUGUUAUAAAUAUAAAAAUAAUAAAAAAAAACAAAUAAAAUUUUGCGUUUAUCCUGUCCACUUAUCUAUAUAAUGAUGACUCUAUCUAAACUCUUCUCUAUCAGAUAUCCUCCUGUCACUAAACUGUUGCGUCACGUGGUUUUGGCAGUAACUAUGGAAACGUCCACGCAAUGCACUAUCAGCUUCCGUUUUUUACUUUUAUCCACCGCCGUAUAUAGGAUUGAGACGAUGGCCGUAGCUUCUAUUGUUAAGCUUCUUAAACGGACUAAACUGACAUUAUAGUUUGUCUGGCAUCUGAAAGUGGAGAUGAAGCCUCAUACCAGCGUCGUCAGACCUAAACUGAUGUCACUGCCAGCUGAAGCUCCUCUGAUAAUACAGGACGUUACAGACGCGCGAGCCACGCGUCCUUCAAACCUCAUCUCCAGUCCUCCAGUGUCCGGAUGUUCCACGGCUGCUGAAGCCAGGCUGAAUGUUUUCUCAGCGACACGGAAAUGCCCACGCAGUCCGAGCGAUUCCAGGGAUCUAAAGCCUCACAGUGUCAGCUCUAUUACUAAAGGGCCACUGCUUCCAUUUCUAGCCAAAAAUCGCUCAAACGUAACCUCACAAAACAAUGUGUCUGACAGUGAUAUUUCUGGACGGCAUUUCUUAUUUGAUAAACGAUGGAGAAAUGGAACUUACUUCACUAAUGGCAUUGAAGGUGAUGUUCUGAUAAACCACAACCCUACAAAUCCACUGUCUCAGGACUUCCAUGUGUAUCGCUCUCACAAUCUAACCAGAUUCGCCCACCGCAAAGAACUCUGCCUGCGCGACCCAAGACCACUUAUUUGCGGGUCUGAUUAUCUGGCUUCAUUUCCAUCAGUUCUGUUACCAGCCACCACCCCAUCUGUCAGUGGACGGCUCUGUUUAUCACAAAACUAUAAAAACAGGUAACAAUUAUUUAUUAUUAUUAUUAUUAUUAUUAUUUUAAUUUGGCUAUACAUAUUGUGUUUGUUGCAUACUUAUUAUACUCUCUCUUGUCUUACUCUCUGCAUUUCAGAUUAAGGAUGAAAACCAGAGCACGAAAUCUCUUCUCUGAUGGUGCUAACAACAAAAGUGAGCAUUUCAGCUUUAAGCUUAAAGCGAAUGUUUAAAUGCUUAUUAGUUAGCAUCAGUUAACUGAUUUAUUGUCUUGUGAUAACUCAUCUAAAUAGACUAUUUUUGAAAGCUUAUUUUUGUCAGUUGGCACUGGUAAAUUGAGCACAUAGCAUGUGUUAUUUAGGUGUUUGCUCAGUGUUUAACAGAUGAGAUCUUUCACUUCACUCCUGUUACAGAUUCAGACCACAGACACUGAUGAAUUUCACAUGUGCAUGUGUUUUUCAUGAGCUCACAAACGUUGAAUACACACACUUAACUCACUUACCUGUGUAAACCUGAAUAAGCAAACUGUGCUCUUGUCUAACCAGCCUGUGGGCCGGUAAUUGUUUUUCAGCCCAAUCGUACCCUGAUCCACACCUGGGUGCCUCGGCCUCUUUUGUUCAGAGGCUCACAGAGAUUUCCUGUCUGGAAGCAGAAACAGUGCGGCAGGAGAGAAUGAAGAGACUCAAAAAGAUCAAUAGGCAGGAUUCUUAAUCGGAGUUCAUUAGCCAAAGAGGAAACACUUGACUCUUGAAAUCACAGCUGUGCCAAGAUGGAGCAAAUAAAAUCAAGGAGAAAAACUUGAGAGGUACA